AGUGAACGCUGGCGGUAGGCCUAACACAUGCAAGUCGAACGGCAGCACAGUAAGAGCUUGCUCUUACGGGUGGCGAGUGGCGGACGGGUGAGGAAUACAUCGGAAUCUACUUUUUCGUGGGGGAUAACGUAGGGAAACUUACGCUAAUACCGCAUACGACCUACGGGUGAAAGCAGGGGAUCUUCGGACCUUGCGCGAUUGAAUGAGCCGAUGUCGGAUUAGCUAGUUGGCGGGGUAAAGGCCCACCAAGGCGACGAUCCGUAGCUGGUCUGAGAGGAUGAUCAGCCACACUGGAACUGAGACACGGUCCAGACUCCUACGGGAGGCAGCAGUGGGGAAUAUUGGACAAAGGGCGCAAGCCGGAUCCAGCCAUACCGCGUGGGUGAAGAAGGCCUUCGGGUUGUAAAGCCCUUUUGUUGGGAAAGAAAAGCAGCAGGUUAAUACCCCGCUGUUCUGACGGUACCCAAAGAAUAAGCACCGGCUAACUUCGUG
rnacentral:rRNA from 1 species